CCCUUCCAGCGUAGCAAGUCAAUACGAAUGCUCACGAAAUCGUUGUUGUUGGUGAUUGUUUGAUCAGUGGAAACUGCUCCGACGGCGCCGCCUCCUUCCUCCGUGGACGGCAUUUUCAGGCUGAGCGGUUGGAAGUAAUAAAGAAGGUGAUUUUGUAAACUGUUUUUGGCUGAGUGAGUGAUGUUGGAGAAAAGGUGGCAAAAUGGCUACGAUGAUGACAAAUAUUUUAUAGCCUACAUGAUAAACAUAUAUGGGAAAUACUUAAGGUGUAAUUCAAAUUUACCCCUUAGUGUUUAUAUUUUUAUUAAUAUAAUUUUAAUUUUUUAAUUAAAUUUAAUUCUCUUUUGAAAGAGUCAAUGAUAAAAAAGAAAAGUUAAAUUAAUAUUUUUUAACAAAAAUAGUAAUAAAUAUUAAAAUUAAGAAUAAUAUUAUAGAACCUAAAUACUCAACACAACCCAAAACCUUCGCCUUAACCAAGAAACUAAUACUUCCUAAAUUUCAUUAGCUUAAUAAUAGCUAUUCAAAUAUAUUUUUUCAUUGUAUUACUUAAAUUAUUAUUACUUACUUUAACAUUUAAAUUAUCAUUAUAUUACAUGAUUAGUUCCAAAUAUUUAACAUUGUAACUAUGCUUCUUUAAAUAUAGUAAUUGCAUUUGUUAUUCACAUGUUAUUCACAUGCCAACCAACCAAUUUAUUAUUCACAUUCCUAACUUUCUAAAUGCAUCAAAUAUUUCAUAUUCAUGUACUAACAAAGAUCAUGCCAAGAACCCACAUGCAGAGUCAUUAUAUACCACAUUUAACUCAACAAGACUUUUACAUAACCAAAGAUUACUCCAAACGUUUAUACGCAUGUCGCAAUCCUUGACUCAAAUGAUAAAAAAAAAAACACCAAAUUGACAAUAAAAUAAUGUAAGCUUCGAACGAUCCAAUCGACAUGUUCCACAAUGUAACACCUAAAAGGAAAAAGAAAACAAUGGGGUAAGCAUAUAAGAUGCUUAGUAAACUCAUAUGUAAUCUAAAACUUACCUAGAUUAAUUGAACAUAAAAAUUACUGAAUAAUCUAUCAAAUUUAUUUUUCCAUGGCACGUAGAUAUCGUAUAUGUAACAACAUUUCAAGUCGAAAAUGUUAAAUACAAUGUUGAAUCAUUAUGUCUUCUUUUCUUAAGUUUCACUUAUAGAAAUAUAAUAUAGGUUCAAGUACAAAUAUAUGUCUCGAUUAAUCUAGAAAGAAUUAGACAAAAUUCACAUAUGAUAUACGCAUAUAAUGAGUGUGAGACUCACACAUCACAAUUGAGAAUAAUGUUAUAGAACCUAAAUACUCAACAACCCAAAACCUUUGCGUUAAGCAAGAAGCUAAGACCCUAUCGGAGGGAGAAUUUUAUAUCUACAACACUUCUUAAAUUUCAUUAGCUUAACAAUAGCUAUUCAAAUAUUUAACAUUGUAACCAUGCUUCUUUACAUAUAGUAAUUGCAUUUGUUAUUCUACCCAACUUAUGAAAAAUCUCAAAUUUGCAAUUUAUUAUUCACAUGCCAACCAACCAAUUUAUUAUUCACGUGCCAACCAAUUUGUUUUAUCGAAGUUAUUAUACUUAUAAGCUUUCACAUAUAACCAUGCUUCUUUACAUAUAUUAAUUGCAUUUAUUGUUGUACCUCAUGAAAAUUUUCAAAUUUGCAACAACAUAUUAUUCGCAUGCCAACCAACCUCUUUUUUUUUAUUGAAGUUAUUAUACUUAUAAGCAUUCACAUUUAACCAUGCUUCUUGUAACACUUUUCAUUGGACCCAAUCGUUGGGUCCGAUCUACAAGACUCUACAGUCAUUGUCAAAGCAACUACAGUCGAAAUUACGAUAAGAUAAUUUUCAUUUAAACAUCAAGCAAGAUUCAACUACAGUAAUACAUUAAUUAUGAGUUUUAAUCGAGCUUACAAAAGCUUUUUUGGUAGUCCGAACAAGAAUUAGGACCAAACUAUAAAGAUUUGAAAAGUUUGGAGCGACGUCGCAACUUCAGCUUUUCCUCAUCGCAACAUGACCAUCUCAGUAUGUCACAUCAUAUCGAAAAGCCUAUGCUCAUCGCAGCGAGACUCUCUGACUUGGCAAUGUCGCAAUGUCAAGAUUCGUAGCCGUGAUGUGAACUCUAUAUUUGACAAAAAUAUACAAUUUGGUACCUAAUUCAAAGCUCCAACUAAAAUCAUGCAAGAAAAAUACAUUACGUGCCAUUUCUAAAUGACUUAAAACUUACCUUAAACAUGCUAAGUAAGUUUAAACAUAUCAUUUCAAUUCCAUAGCAAUUCAUAUUACCAUUUCAUCAAUUGUAUUCAACUUUUCAAUAACUUGUAACCAUGCUUCUUUACAUAUAGUAAUUGCAUUUGUUAUUCUACCUAAUUUAUGAAAAAUCUCAAAUUCACAAUUUAUUAUUCACAAGCCAAACAACCAAUUUAUUAUUCCAACCAACCAAUUUAUUAUUCACAUGCCAACCAAUUUGCUUUAUUGAAGUUAUUAUACUUAUAAGCUUUCACAUAUAACCAUGCUUCUUUACAUAUAUUAAUUGCAUUUAUUGUUGUACCUCAUGAAAAUUUUCAAAUUUGCAACAACAUAUUAUUCGCAUGCCAACCAACCUCUUUUUUUUUAUUAUUGAAGUUAUUAUACUUAAAAGCUUUCACAUGUAACCAUGCUUCUUGUAACACUUUUCAUUGGAUCCGAUCAUUGGGUCCGAUCUACAGAACGCUACAGUCAUUAUCAAAGCAACUACAGUCAGAAUUACGAUAAGAUAAUUUUUAUUUAAACGUCAAUCACGAUUCAAUUACAGUAAUACAUUAAUUAUGAGCUUUAAUCGAGCUUACGAAAACUUUUUUGGCAGUCCGAACAAGAAUUAGGACCAAACUGUAAAGAUUUGAAAAGUUUAGAGCGAUACUGCGACUUCAGCUUUUCCUCAUCGCAACAUGACCAUCUCAGUAUGUCACAUCAUAUCAAAAAGCCUAUGCUCGUCGCGGCGAGACUCUCUGACUUGGCAAUGUCGCAAUGUCAAGAUUCGUAGCCGUGAUGUGAACCCUAUAUUUGACAAAAAUAAACAAUUUGGUAUCUAAUUCAAAGCUCCAACUAGAAUUAUGCAAGAAAAAUACAUUACGUGCCAUUUCUAAAUGACUUAAAACUUACCUUAAACAUGCUAAGUAAGUUUAAACAUAUCAUUUCAAUUCCAUAGCAAUUCAUAUUACCAUUUCAUCAAUUGUAUUCAACUUUUCAAUAACUUAAACUAAAUAUCAACAAGUUAUACAAACAUCUACCAUUACCUUUAUCAUGCCAUAAUGAAUCAUUCCAUUUCAAACAAUCAUCACAUUAGUUCUUUCAUUUUUCUUUUUUAGUCAUCAUAUGCAAACCAACUUAAAUAGAUCACAUUCCAACUUUCUAAAUGCAUCAAAUAUUUCAUAGCAAAGAUCAUGCCAAGAACCCACAUGCAAAGUCAUUAUAUACCACAUUAAACUCAACAAAACUUUUACACAACCAAAGUCUACUACAAAUGUUUAUAUACAUGUCGCAAUCCUUGACUCAAAAUGAUAAAAAAUAAACUACCAAAUUGAUGAGAAAAUAGUUUAAGCUUAGAACAAUCCAACCGACGUGUUCUGCAAGGUAACAACCUAAAAGAAAAAAAGAAACAACGGGAUAAGCAUAUGAUAUGCUUAGUAAGCUCAUAUGGAAACUAAAACUUACCUAGAUCCAUUGAACAUAAAAAAUUACUCAAUAAGCUAUUGAAUUAAUUUUUCCUUGGCACUUAUAUACAUAUAGUACAUGUAACAACAUUGCAAGUCAAAAGUGUUAGAUACAAUGUUGAAUCAUAAUCCCAUCAACCUUUAAAACAUAAUCACAUAGCAAUCUACAUAUCAAAUUUCAUCAAUUUAUUUUUCAAUUCAAGAUUUAAUUCCAUUUCCAACCAUUUAAUCAUCCUCUGAUAAAACUAUAGUAAAAAAGACCUAGGUACAUGGGACUAUUUUGCUGACACUUUAACGAACUUUCUCACACAAGUUGAUUUUAUAUUAGAAUUGUUCACACAAGUUGACUUUGUAAUAAUUGCUCACACAAGCUAACUUUAUAUAAUGGAAUUGUUCACACAUCCUGACUUUGUAAAAUGCUCACACAAGCUGACUUUGUAAUACUUCCAUACAACUAAUAUUUAUGAUUCAAUUAAAUUCAAGACAAUUGUGCUAAAUUCUAACAAUUAUAUAUAUAUAUAUAUCCUUUUUUUCGGGAUCAUUCCAAAAAAAACCGUUUUUAAUUUUUGGUGCGGAACAAAAAAAAAGUGAAUUGAAUUUAAAGUUGGAUCGAGUGAAUAAAUGGAUAGAGCUCCACGGCCCCAAUUAUAGGGAAACAAAAAGUAACAAGCUUCUGUUCUCAAUUUGAAUAAUUACCUAAUCUAAUUAAACUUUAAAAAAAAAAUUAGUGCCUAAUGUGGUAAAGGUUUUUCUCAUGAGUAAAUUAUCGGUUUUUUUUUUGAGUCCUAAUUAUUAUUAUUAGGCAUUCCCUUUAUGGGUUAGCCAUGAAUGUGUAGAAGAAGCAGUAUAUUGAUAAAGAAAAUAACUUUUUUUCUAAAAUCAAAAGAGCGAUUGGGUUGAAAAAAUAAAGGAUUUCUAACCGUCAUAUAUGUUGAUUCAAAUAUAAUUCAUACCAAAAUAAAAUUGAUUAUUAAGUUAAAAUAAAAUUUAGGAUGUGAAAGAAGUUCAAAAAAAAAAUUAAUGCAAAAGAAAGAUAAGGGUAUUUUUUUUAGGUCAUGGAUGUAACAACGAAGCUCGGUUAUUGUUGGUGUUGUAUGGAAGAAUCGAAGAUGUAGUGAAUGAGUUUUUAGGGUUUUAAAGUUUAACAUUGAAAGAUUGUUGUUUGUGGGUAUGUGACUGUUUUCGAUGUAAGGAAUGGUAUAAAAAAAUUACGAUUUAGGGUUUUAUUAUAUAAAUAAAGAAAGCGCCUUUUAAGAUUGUUAGAGGCACCUAUCUUUGUUUUUAGUGUAUGUAUCAUGGUCCUGAUGAUGCGGUACAAGUUUAGUUCUUUUGAGUGUGUCUUGUGAUGUGAAGUCUGUUUUGUUGGGGCUCUUGGCUCCUAUGUUUCAAUGAUAAUAAAAUAUACGUCAAACAAAAUUCUCACAAAAAACAGAGUUUACAAAACGACUAGUAAACAACACUUACUUUGGUUGAUGUAUGGCAUAAUAAGUCUGCAAAGCACCAAGCAAAAGUGCAGUAAUGGCACCCACAAAUGCCAAAAACGUCCAAGGACUCCUAAAAUAAGUAUGAUAAGCUAGAGCUGCAUGCUUAAUCCGCAUAUUCUUACAAUGAUUAUGUAUUUUCCGUUUAACCCCACCGUAAAUCAUCGGACUAGGAACCAAAUCAGUGUUCAUCUUAUUGAAAAGGUUAGCCACUUCUUCAUCACUCCCCAAUCCGUUGUAUAGUAUGCCGGUGCCACUCAGGUCUUUAACAUCUUCGGCUUCAUCGAUCAAUAAAUCAAGGAAACACAUAUAUGAAGUGACAGUGAAAUCGUUUUUGAAAUCCGGGCACAUUUCGUAAGCUAUCAAGUUCAUGGUUGAAUCAUUGACGGCGAUUGGCGGUAAACAUAAUUUUCCAACGAAGAUACGGUUGAAACAGAUUCGUAGUAGAUUCAGUAGGUGAAUUGGACUUGCAGCUUCCACCAUUACCAUUUUCUAGAGCUAAAUCUGUGUCAAGUCAUCGAUUUAUAAGUUUAAUUGAUCCGAUGUAUUCAUAUUUGUUGAUUAAAUAAAUCAUUAAAAAUUUUGAUUUUAUUAUUUAGUUCAAUAAGUUUUUUUUUUUUUUUACAAUUCAACCUGAUUCUUAAGUCAAUCGAUCUAAUGACUUUCUUUAAACUCAUACCUCAAUUAAUUUUCAAUCCAAUAUAAUCCAAACAACAUUUCGUAAAAUAUAAUUUUAUUUUACCAUUUUGAAAAGUUGGAUUUGAAAAUGCACACUCAACAGGAUCAAUACAAAGGGACAGGCGAGGUCGUUCUCAAAAAUAGAAAAUUAUAUUUUCAUCCUUUUUAAAUUAUUAAAUUAUAAAUUUAUAUAAUAAAAUUACACUUUAACCUUUUAAAAUGAAAAAAAAAAUUGUUCAACCUUUUUAAAACUGAUGAAAUUAUAAAUUAAUAAAUGAAAAAAAAAGAGAAUGAGACGAAACUUGUUGAUCAAGCUAGUUGGAUAGAGAAUUAAGUAAAGGUGCUCAUGGGUAAGGUUGAACCCAAUAAAAGAUUUAUGCCUCAGCUUGGCCCACUCGUUUUAAUUUUUUUAAAUUUUUUUAAAUUUUUUUAAUAUAAUUUUUAAAUAUAUAUGAUACAUUAAAAAUACUAAAAAACAUUAAAAUAAAUAUUUCCCAACAAACUAAUUUUUUUUUAAAAAUAUGUAUACUUAAAUAACAUUAAAGUAGACACUGUAAAAUGGUAAUAAAAUAGGAAGAAAAUGACAAGAAACUAGCAUUAAAACAAUAAAAAAAUAACAUAUUUUUUUGUCCUUUUGUGAUUCGGGCUAGGGUUGGGCCAAAAAUGUCUUACCCGAGACUCGGCCUAUUUUCAAAACUAGAUUUUUUUUUGCCCAAGUCAAUUUUUUAGGUCUAUAUUUUUACUUAAACCCUUAUAUUUCUCGGACGAGCCAAAUGACCCAAUCUAUGAGUAAGUCUAGAAUCAAGCAAGAUACUGGUCCAGAAGAAAAGGAUAGACAAAUUGAAUCGAAUAGUAAAAUCGAUUUUUUUUAUAUUUUUAAUAUAACUUUAAUAUUUUUUAAGAUUCUAUAUAAUUUAAACGAAUGAACUAUUCAACCGAAAAUGAGGAUCUAAUCGAUUCCAUCACCUAGUUAUAAAAAUCUUUAACACUUAUAAACUCCACAAAAUAUUCUUUUUAAAAUUCCUUAAAUUACCUGUCCCGCUGAUGUGAUUGUGGCUCUUUUAUCUCGGCUGGGUUGACAACAGUGUCGUCGAUGAACCUUUUGAUUGAAUCCAUGAACUUUUUGCCAUCCCCCGAGCUUGUAAGCAAUUCAGGAACACGAAAAGGUGAUUGGUUUUCCAACAAGAACAGAUCCGAGUACACAAAUGUCAGCAAAUCGUUUUUAAUGAAAUUCGUUCGACUUACGAUCAUAAUCUUGGCCGUAACGCAUAUAAACUGCUUGUAAAAUUGCGCAGCCGUCAAUUCCUUUGGAUCAUAGCUUUUCUUCAAGCCAUCCGGCUCUGUCUUCAUGUUGUUGUACAAGGUAUCAUUAUCGAUGCCAAUUUUUUUAACGAAAUUUGCUGCUAAAUUGAGCUUGAGCUUCUCGGACUCGUGGAGGGUGGGAUCAUCGUGGUGGAGUGGGCCAAUUGAGAUCACUUUCGGCUUGAAAUAUUUCCGGAAAUCUUCGUCACGGCGAAGGGUUGCUGGGACUCUUUUGUCAAUAGUUUGGCUUUGGGGUCGAGAUGGUCCCCUUCGAAAGCUUCGUCUAAUGACCAGCAAUUCCGUGAUUCGCCAUUGCUGUGAGUGAAGUCUGUACCCGGUAUUGGAAUGAUCGUCUCUAGGGGAUUGUUGUUCGUGUUGUUAUUGAUGACUGUUUGAUCAGUGGAAACUACUCCACCGGGAGCUCUGACGGCGCCGCCUCCUUCUGUAACACCCCUAUACCAUGUUUGACUUAAGGAACCUAAUAUAAGAAUAUUACAUUUGAUGCCAAAGUAAUUCUUGGCUAAUUACUAUUAUAUUUGAACAUAAAAACAGACAAAUAAUAAAUUUAAAUAAUUUAUAUUUAAAUCCAUUACUACUACUUGGGACAUAAUUUUUUUUAAGUACAUGCCAUUCUAUUCAAAAUUUUAAAACAUACCCGUUGUUGCUUGAAGAUGUGAUGAGAUGAAAGCUUACAAUCUCAAAUUCGACUCUCAAAAAUUUAUGUACCUAAUUUGCGCAAGGAAACAAAUCGUACAAUGAGUAUACACCCAGUGUUAUUACUAUAAUUCAAAUACUUAAGGUAAAAACAAUAUAUAUACACAUUAAAUCUUACCACUAUUUUACCUUCAAUAAAUCAUUCAUGCAUUUAAACUUUAAAUUUAUUCUAAUAAUAUGUAUCUUAAAUAGCUUUUCUUUAUUUUAAUUUAUAUAUCUACUUAUUAUAUCAAUAUUCAUUUCAUGCAUUUCAUCAAUAACCAUUUCAUAAAACUAUUAUUUCAUAUAUUUCAUUUCUAUAUCCUAAUUCAAUAAUUUAUUCUAUUCCAUAUCUAAAACCUUACAACAUUAGUCUUUCAAUAAUUAUUUAAACCAACAUUUUUCAAUAAAAAUAAUUAUAAUUAAUUCAUAAGAUUAUAUCCAACUAACUCAUACACUAUUUCAUUAUUUCCUAUUCAUUCUAUUUUCACUUCUUAUUUCGAUAUCUCAAUUUCAAUUCACAUUUCAAUUCAUAAUUUCACUUUCUCAUACUUUCAAUAGCUCAAUCCAUCAAUUCAUUUGAUUUUUUCAUUUCAUUUAUUCAACUGAUUUCAAAAUCAAUAAUUCGAUAUUUUAGCAAAUUCAUGAACCUUAUGUUCAUGCUUCAAAUCUCGCAUCUUAAUGCCGUUCACAAUUCAACUCAUAAUUUCUUUCUCAUAUCUCUAAAAGUACGAUCAAUCAAAUUUAUUUAAUUUUCUCAUUUCAGUUAUUCACCUUAUUAACAAACCCGGACUUUGACGGAUACACGAAUUCCAACCCAAACACACCAGUACGGCAUAUUGUGCCUAAAACGGUACAUAGUACCUGAUCAGUAUACGACACAUAAGUGCCUGAAAUGACACACGAGGUGCCUAAUAUGACACACGAGGUGCCUGAAAUACGCAAAGCCGAUAUAUCCCGGACUCUUAUAAAUCCUAUGGCAUGCCAAUUAUAUCCGACUCAGCCCGACUAGAUAAUAGGGUAUUUCAAUUCUCAAUUCACUUUCAUUUCCAAUUCAAUAUCACUUUUCAAUUACAAUUUCUCAUUCAAAUCAAUAUACAAUUCAAUUGUACAUACACAUUCAUCAUUCAAUUCAAUUCUCAUUCAUUUCAAAAUCAAUUUUUCACUUUCUAAUCAAUAAACAAUUCAAUACCAAUACAUAUUUCAGAUAAUCACAUAUAAUCAUAUUUCGAUUCAAUUCAAACCACUUUUCAAUCAAUACACAAUUCACAUAUUCACACAUAUUCAUAAAUUAAUUCACUUUUAUUUAAUUCAUAUUUUUAAUUCAUUUUCCAAUCAAAUUCAAAUCACUAAUUACUUUUCAAUCAAUAUACAUUUCAAAUACUCACAUAUUUUCUUCAUUCAAUUCAAUUUGAUUCAAUUAAAAUCACUUUUAGUUUCCAAUCAAUAUAAUUUCAAAUAUUCACAUAAUUCGUAAUUCAAUUACUUAAAUCACUUUUAAUUUCCAAUUUGUUCACAUUCAAUUUCAAUAGCCAUAAACAUUUUUGAAUCAAUUUCAUUCAAAUCAAUAUCAUCAUUUCAAUUGCUUACCUAAUUUUAUUUGCCAUGCAUUUUAAUUCAAAUAUAACAAUUAAUAAUAAAUAGAUUUGAAUUAUAGUAGUACAAACCCGGAUUUGUUCGAUUACUCCUCGAUAACGUUUCCUUUCUUUUCGGUGCCGAUGCCUCGAUUUCUUUGGUAACUACAAAAAUAAUAAUAAUAAUUUACACUUAUUAAUAACAGCACUAAUUUAUAAUAAUGAUUGAAUUUCUAUUCAAUUUAUAUCCUAAUUCCAAUUUAAUCCUAAUUAACUCAUUUACUUUUAUAAUUCAAUUCAUACUUCAUUUCGAUUCAAUUUCCUUCCAUAUUUCACUUAACUAUCUAAUGUUCAUAAUAAAAUUAUAAUUUAAAAUUUCUUUCAAUUUAGUCCUUUCAACACAAAACUUAUAGCUUCUUUUACAAUUCAAUCCCUUACCAAAUAUAACUUGAAAUUCAUUCAAUUAAAUCCCUAAUUCAUCUUUUUGUUCAACAUGAACUAUACUUAUAAACCUAUGAACUUUCAAAGUAUCAACUUAAUUUCAUCAAAACCUUGUUCUAAAGCUUGUAAAACAUCAAAAUUAAGUAAAAAUGACUUAAUUGACUUACCUAUUAAAGUUUUAACCUUCAAACCCUAGUUUUUCCCCAUUUUCUUUUCUUUCCCUUUUCUUUCUUCUUGUUUUCGAAUGGCUUCUGCUAUUCUUUCUUUUGCUUUCUUUCUUUAUUUCAUUUCAUUUAUAUAUAUAUAUAUAAUAUUAGUUAAUAAUGAUAAUAAUGAUAAUAAUAAUUAUAAUAAAUAUCUUUUAAUAACACAUAUUUACAUUACAUUUGUCACCACUUAAUUUGUUUAUCGUACACAAAAAUCUUAUAAUAUAAUUAUUUAAUUAAUAACUAUCUUUUACUUAAUUUUCAAGUAAAUAAAUAAAUAUAAUACAAAUGUAUAUAUUUACAUUAUUUCAAUUGUCACUAUCCAAUUUUUUUAUUAGUUAUCUAAUAAAUAUCUUUUACUUAGUAAUAAUAAAUAAUAAAUAUCUAUUUACUAAUUAAAUAUAAGUAUUACAAAUGUACAUAUAUUUUUUUUACAAGUGUACAAUAUCAUCACCACCCAUUUGGCAAAAUUUUGAUUUAUUCAUAUAAUAUAAUAUAAUAUUUUUAAUUUAUAACUAAUAUAAAUUGCCAUAUAAUAAAAUAAUUAUAUACAUAAUAAUUUAAUAAUAAUUAAACAAUAAAAAUUUUAGAUUUUUAUCAACAUUUGCCGCCUCAUUUAUGGUGAAUGGUAUAUUUUCCAUUUUGGUCCCCCUUUCUUUUUAUUAAUCUAAUUUAGCCCUUAAUAUUUAUAAUUUUACCAAUUUGAUUUUUAUUCUUUUUAGUUAAAUUUAAUUCUCUACCUAGUGUCAAAUUUGACUAUUGAUCUUUUAGAAAAUUGUCGAAUUAAUGUUUUGUUCUUUGCUUUCAAUUUGGUUCUGUUCUUAAGCAAAUUUCUGCUUUGUUUCUUCUCCAAGUCACGAGUCUUGUUGUUCAAGUCAUAGCUGAACUAGCUUGCUUGUUGUUCAUAACACCAACAACCUGUUCUCGGCUGGGUUGAUAACAGUAUCAUCGAUGAACCUCCGGAUUGCAUUCAUGAACAUUUUGCCAUCACCCAAGCUUGUAAGCAAUUCAAGAACACGAAAAGGUAAUUGAUUUUCCAACAAGAACAGAUCCGAGUACAAAAAUGUCAGUAAAUCAUUUUUAAUUAACAAAUUACCAUCAUCAUCAUCAUUAUCGUAACGCAUGUCAACUGCUUGUAAAUUUGCGCAGCCGUCAACGAUGAACAUCCAAGCCAGUUCCUCGUUAUCGUCUCUAUACUUCUCUAAUUCCUGUGGAUCAUAGCAUUCCUUCAAGCUAUCCAUCUCUUUCUUAAUUUUUCUGUACAAGGAUUUCUUAUCGACGCCAAUUUUUUUGACGAAAUGUGCUGCUAAUUUGAGGUUGAGCCCCUUGGAUUCACGGAGGGUGAGAUCAUCGUGGUGGAGUGGGCCGAUUGAGAUCACUUUCAGCUUGAAAUACUUCUUGAAAUCUUCGUUACGGAGAAGGGUUGAUGGGACUUUUUGUAUUAAUGGUUUGUAUCUAAGGGUGGGUUGGCCACCAAAAGCUUUGUCUAAUGACUGGAGCUUCGCUACUUCGCCAUCGCUGAGAGGGACGUCGGUGAACCACAUAUCAAUUCCCACGUAAUCGUUGUUGGUGUUGUUGUCGAUGAUUGUUUGAUUAGUGGAAACUGCUCCGGCGGCGCUGCCUCCUUCCUCCAUGGACGACAUUUUCAGGCUGACCGGCUCGAAGUAAUUAACAAGGUGAUUUUGAAAACUUGUUUUGGCUGAUUGAGUGAUGUUGGAAAAAAGGUGGCAAAAUGGCUACGAUGAUAACAAAUCUUCUAUAGCUUACAUAAAGAGGCGAAUAUAGGGGAAUGUAAAAUUGUUAUUUAGGCCCUUAAUAUUUUUUAAAAUUUUAAAUUAGUAAAAGUGAAAUUACAUUUUGGCCUUAUAAAAUUAUAAAAAUUCAAUUUAAUCUUUUAAAAAUUAUAAAGAUAUAGACUACAAAAAAUUAAAAUCUCAUUCGAUCCACCCUAAAAAAUUAUUCGGGCUUCGCCACUGCUUACAUAAUAAACAUAUGGAAAAUACUUUUGGUGUAAUUCAAAUUUACCCCUUAUAGUCAAUUUAAUUUUCAUUUUUUUAAUUUAAUUUUCUAUCUUUUGGAAGAGUUGAAUUUAACUAUCAAUUUAAAUUAAUAUUUUUUAACGAAAAUAGUGACUAAAAUAUUAAAAUAUUAAACAUGACAACUCAAACGGCAAUCCACAUCUAUAUGUUUUUUUUAUUUAUUUCUUAUUUUUAAAUUAUUUAUUGAUGUGACAUAUAAUAAAAGUAUUGUUAUAUUAGCAUGAAGUACACAUGGAAGGCCACACGAGUUGUGACACCAAUAUCGUUAAAAAUUAAUAUUUUAGUUAGCAUAUCUGUUAAAGAAAAGCAAAUGAACUCUUUUUUCAAAGGUUAAUGGCUAAAUUUAGCUCAAAUGAAAAAAAAAAAAGGCCAAUUUGAUAAAAAAGGUAAAUGUCAAGAGUUAAGUUUAACAUUUAUACAAGUACAAAUAUAUGUCUGGAUUAAUCUAGAAAGAACAAGACAAACUCUACAGGUGAUAUACAAAUGUGAUGAGAGUGGAACCUGCACAUCACAAUUGAGAAUAAUAUUAUAGAACCUAAAUACUCAAAAACCUAAAACCUUCCCCUUAACCAAGAAGCUAAGACGCCAUGGAUAAUUUUAUAUCUACAACACUUAUGAAUUUCAUAUGCUUAAUAAUAGUUUACAAAAAGACAAGUAAAGAACACUUACUUCGGUUGAUGUAUGGUAUAAUAAGUCUGCAAAGCACUAAGAGUAAGUGCAGCAAUGGCACCCAAAAAUGCUAAAAACGUCCAAGGACUCCUAAAAUAAGUAUGAUAACCUUGAGCUGCAUGAUUAAUCCACAUAGUCUUACAAUGAUUAUGUAUUUUCUCUUUAACCCCACUGUAAAUUGUCGGACUAGGAACCAAAUCAGUGUUCAUCUUAUUGAAAAGCUUAGCCAUUUCUUCAUCACUGCCCAAUCCAUUGUAUAGUAUGCCGGAGUCUCUAAGGUCUUUAACAUCUUCGGCUUCAUCGAUCAAUAAAUCAAGGAAACACAUAUAUGAAGUGACGGUGAAAUCGUUGUCGAAAUCCGGACACAUUUCGUAAGCUAUUAAGUUCAUGGUUGAAUCAUCGACGGAGAUCGGCGGUAACCGUAAUUUUCCGAAGAAGAAGAUAUGGUUGAAACUGAUGUCGGUUAAAUUACUUGUUUCGCUGGCUUCUAACCAUAUCCCGGCCUUUUUAAGCUCUUUUACGUUACCAAUGGUGCGUGAAUGGUACCGUUUUGUUCUUUUUCUUCUUGCUGCUGCUUUGCCAAAUCCGUGUCGAGUGAAUUCCCAAAGAAAACACCAGCACCGUAUUCGUACUUUUCUGAGAAGGAGUCUUUCUCGUAGUAGAUGCAAUAAGUGAAUUCGCUCUCCUUCUUUUUGCUGCUUCCACCACCAUUCCCUACACCAAAAUCUGUGUUAGUCGGAAGCCAAGCUACAAUUUCUCUUUUCUCUUUUCUUUUUUUCUUUUUUGUUGUUAAUACAAAAAUAUUAAAAAUCAAUCUAUACUUGUUAAUCAAGUUGGUUGAAUAAAAAAUUAAAUAAAAUUGAAGUUAUACCAAUUGAAUUAAAGAAUGGAAUAAAUUUCUUUUUAUAUUUUUAAUAUUUUUAAAAAUUUAUAUAAUUAAACUGAAUUAACUAAUCAAAUGGAAAAGAGAGUCUAAUAGAUUCCAUCACCUAUGUAGUUAUAAAAACCUUUUAACAUUUAUAAACUCCACAAAAAUGAUUCUUUAUUUAAUUCCCUAAAUUACCUGUCCUCGCCUGGGUUGAUAACAGUUUCGUCGAUGAACCUUUGGAUUGCAUUCAUGAACUUUUUGCCAUCCCCCGAGCUUGUAAGCAAUUCAAGAACACGAAAAGGUAAUUGGUUUUCCAACAAGAACAGAUCCGAGUACACAAAUGUCAGCAAAUCGUCUUUAAUAAACAAUUUACCAUCAUCAUCAUCAUCAUCAUCAUCACCGUAACGCCUGUAAACUGCUUGUAAAAUUGCGCAGCCGUCAACGAAGAAAAUCCAAGCCAGUUUCUCGUUAUCGUUGCUAUAGUUCUCUAAUCCCUUUGGAUCAUAGCAUUUCUUUAACUCAUCGAUCUCUGUCUUCAUGUUGUUGUACAAGGUAUCCUUAUCGACGCCAAUUUUUUUGACGAAAAGUGCUGCUAAUUUGAGCUUGAGCUUCUCGGAUUUAUGGAAGGUGGGAUCAUCGUGGUGGAGUGGGCCGAUUGAGAUCACUUUCGGCUUGAAAUACUUACUGAAAUCUUCGUGACGACCAAGGGUUGAUGGGACUCUUUGUAUCAAUGGUUUGGCACGGAGGUCGAUUUCGUCGCCGUCGAAAGCUUCGUCUAAUGACCGGAGAUUCACUACUUCGCCAACGCUGAGAGGGACGUCCAUAUCAAUGCUCACGGAAUCGUUGUUGUCGGUGAUUGUUUGAUCAGUGGGAGCUGCUCCGACGGCGCCGCCUCCUUCCUCCGUGGAGGACAUUUUCAGGCUGAGCGGUUGGAAGUAAUAAACAAGGUGAUUUUGUAAACUGUUUUUGGCAGAGUGAGUGAUGUUGGAGAAAAGGUAGCAAAGUGGAUAAGAUGAUGACAAAUAUUUUGUAGCUUACAUGAUAAACAUAUAUGGGAAAUACUUAAGGCGUUAGUGUUUAUAUUUUUACUAAUAUAAACAAUGAUAAAAAAGAAAAGUUAAAUAGUGACAAAUACUAAAAUUGAGAAUAAUAUUAUGGAACCUAAAUACUCAACACUACUCAAAACCUUCGCCUUUAACCAAGAAACUAAGACCCUAUCUGAGGGAGAAUUUUAUAUCUACAACACUUCCUAAAUUUCAUUAGCUUAAUAAUAGCUAUUCAAAUAUAUUUUUUCAUUUUAUUACUGACUUUAAUAUUUAAAUUAUCAUUAUAUUGCAUGAUUUAUUCCAAAUAUUUACAUAUAGUAAUUGCAUUUGUAAUUCUACCUAACUAUGAAAAAUCUCAAAUUUGCAACAUGUUAUUCACAUGCCAACCAACCAAUAUAUUAUUCCUACCAACCAAUUUAUCAUUCACAUUCCAACUUUCUAAAUCCAUCAAAUAUUUCAUAUUCAUGUACUAACAAAGAUCAUGCCAAGAACCCACAUGCAAAGUCAUUGUAUAGUACCACAUUUAACUCAAUCGGACUUUUACACAACUAAAGAUUACUCCAAACGUUUAUAUGCAUGUCACAAUCCUUCACUCAAAAUGAUAAAAAAAACUAUUAAAUUGACGAUAAAAUAGUUUAAGCUUCGACCGAUUCAACCGACGUGUUCUAGCAUAUAAUAUGUUUAGUAAGCUCAUAUGGAAACUAAAACUUACCUAGAUCAAUUGAACAUAAAAAAUUACUCAAUAAGCUAUCGAAUUAAUUUUUCCCUGACACUUAUAUACAUAUAGUACAUCUAAUAAAAUUUCUGUUAAAGAAAAGCAAUUUGACUCUUUUUCUAAAAAGUUAAUAACUAAAUUUAGCUCAAAUAAAAAAAAAGAAUAAAAGUCAAUUUGAUAAAAAAUAUAAAUAUUAAAAAUUAAAUUUAUCAUUAUAUCUUUUUUAAGUAAUUAUUUGUGGUGAGCCAUCAUGUCUGACGAUGAUUUUUAAAUACUGUAUUAAUUAUAUAUAGCACAUCAUAUUUCACUAUAAUUUCUAUAGACUUUUUAAACAUGGGGUUAAUUGUUUAUGGCCCAUUGCCCAUGUUGCUUUUAUUAAAUUUUGGGUGAACUUCUCAUUUUGGUCAAAAAAAAAUUGUAUUCUCAGUAUAAAACAAAAAACUAAUCUUUAAUGUUUAUGGCCAAACCCCACCUCUCCUAUCCUAUAAUAAUGGUUCUUGGCUUCUUCUAUCCUACACCUCAAUUAUUUGGAUUAGAUUGAAAAACAAUUGACACUUGAUUUGAUUGUGAAAUAAAGUUAAAUUUUAAAUUUAUAAUAUUUAAUUUGAGUGUGAAUGAAUUUUUGACUUAAUUGAAAAUUUAAAAUUUUAAGUUCGAGUCGUAUUUAAUUAUGUGUGUAUAUCGUGUAUAAAUUUUGUUCAAAUUUAUUUUGAUUUAAUUUUCAUACUAUAUAUUCUUAAUUAAAUUCGGAAUAUAUUUUGAUUAUCAAUUUAACCAUACAUUGUAACGAUGGAUUAAAAUUAUAGUUAAUUAUAUAUUGAAACUAAAUAAUUAGUUUAAGGAAUUAAAAGAUAUUAUUAUAUUUUAUAAAAUUUGAAUAGAUUCAUAAUUAAUUCGAGAUUAAAAAAUGGGAGAAGAAAAGCUAAAACCAAACCUUUUUUACGGUUGGAACUAAACCCCAUGCGGUGUGGAAAAUUGCAAGUUUCCAGAAUAUACCUACACUUACUAAUUAUAAUAAAUAUCUUUUACUUAGUAAUAAUAAAUAAUAAAUAUAUAUUUACUAAUUAAAUAUAAAUAUUACAAAUGUACAUAUAUUUUGUUUACAAUUGUACAAUAUCAUCACCAUCCAUUUGGCAAAUUUGAUUUGUUCAUAUAAUGUUAAUUUAUAACUAAUAUAAAUUACCGUAUAAUAAAAUAAUUAUGUACAUUAUAAUUUAAUAAUAAUUAAACAAUAAAAAUCUUAGAUUUUUUAUCAACAUUUGCCGCCUCAUUUAUGGUGAAUGGUAUAUCUCCCAUUUUGGUCCCCCUUUCUUUUUAUUAAUUCUUUUUCCUAAUUUCUCCUAAUUAAGCUAAAUUCACUUAAUUAAAUCCUAAUUAAACACACAACUAGCCUCACAAAUAUUCUUAAUAAAACAUUUACAAACUCGGUUUACUAAGACAGAAGCCCUAUAACUCACUUUUUCGGUGCCCGUGAAUUUUGGGCCAUUACACAUUCUUCCGUGGAUAACAUUUUUAGGCUGAGCGGUUCGAAGUAAUUACCAAGGUGAUUUUGUAAACUGUUUUUGGCUAAGUGAGUGAUGUUGGUGAAAAGGUGGCAAAAUGGCUACAAUGUUUCUAUAGCUUAUAUAUAAUGAACAUACGGAAAAUAUUUUUGUGUAAUAUCAAAUUUAGCCCUUAAUAUUUAUAAUUUUACCAAUUUGAUUCUUAUUCUUUUUAGUUAAAUUUAAUUCUCUACCUUUUGAAAGUGUCAAAUUUUCUUGGCUGGAAGCUCACUGCAUGGAAGCCAAAAUCAAAACAAACUUUUGAUGGUUUAAUUGUUUUUGAGCCCUUCAAUUUCAGGUGCUAUGAGAAAUGGAUUACAACCUCAUCUUGUCGUUAUCCCAAAAUCAAAACAAGCAACUCUUGGUUGAAAGUUGAAACCAAGGGCCAAGUCAAAAUUGUUUUAGGAUGAGUCCAAAAUGAAUAAUGAAUUUGAAGGUUCAAAAUAAAAUUUUAUUAAUAUAUAAAUUUAUAAUUUCAUAAAUUUUAAAAGGAUUAAAUGAUAAAUUUACUAAUUUAAGAAGACAAUAGGGAUGGUCAAAUAUUCUAAUUGAACCUAUCUGCGAUCGGAUCGGGAUGGAUUUUUUUAAUUAAAAAAAUUAAAUAGAUUGAAUCGAAAUUCUAGGAGUUACAAAAUUCUCAUAAAUAACAAGAGUUUACAAAAAGUACACUUACUUUGGUUGAUGUAUGGUAUAAUAAGCCUGCAAAGCACCGAUAAAAAGUGCACCAAUGGCACCCACAAAUGCGAAAAACGUCCAACGAGUCCUAAAAAAAGUACGGUAAACUUGAGCUGGAUAUGUAAUCCACAUAUUGUUAUGAUGAUCAUGUAUUUGCAGUUUAACAUGUCUGUAAAUCAUCAGACUAGGAACCAAAUCCAUGUUCAUCUUCUUGAUAAGCUUAGCCACUUCUUUAUCACUCCCAAAUCCAUGGUAUAGUAUGCCUGCGUCUCUCAGUUCCUUAACAUCUUCGGCUUCAUCGAUCAAUGAAUCAAGGAAACCCAUAUAUGAAGUGACGGUGAAAUUGUUGUAGAAAUCCGGACAAUUUCGUAAGCUAUUAAGUUCAUGGUUGAAUCAUCGACGGUGAGAGGCGGUAACCGUAAUUUUCCGACGAAGAAGUAAUGGUUGAAACUGAUGUCGGUUAAACAACUUGUUUCGCUUGCUUCUAACCAUAUCCCGGCGUUUUUAAGCUCUUUUACGUUACGAAACGGGUGUGAAUGGUGAGGUUUUAUUCUUGUAUGGUUUCUGCGAUUUGUGAAGGAUAUGCAAAACCUAGAAGGCCAUGGUUUUUCUUUUUUGAAAAGGAGUCUUACUCGUAGUAGAUGCAAUAAGUGAAUUGGCUCUUUAUUUUUUUCUUGCAGCUGCUGCCACCAUUCACUAGAGCAAAAUCUGUGUUAGUCGGGAGCAAGCUAAAAUUAAGGUUUUCAAUGGUUGAAUCAAAUCAUUAUUAUUUAAUAAAAAAUUAUUUAAAUUAUUAAAUUACAUUUUAAUCCUUUUAAAAAUUAUUAAAUUAUAAAUUUGUAUACAAUAAAAUUAUAUUUUGACUCCUCAAAAUGAAUAAAAAAUUGUUUAAACACUUUUAAAAAAUGAUGACAUCAUAAAUUAAUGCAAAAAAAAAAUCUAAGAAUUAAACCAAACUUGUCUAUCGGCCUAAUUAAACAGAGAAUCAAGCAAGGUACUAAUCCAGAAUAAUAAAUUAAAUCCAUUGAAUCUAAUCAUCAAAUCGAUUUUUUUUAUAUUUUUAAUAUAUCUUUAAUAUUUUUAAAAUUUUAUAUAAUUGAAUCGAAUAAACUAAUCAACCAAAAAUGAGACUCUAAUGGAUUGUAUCACCUAUAUAUGUAGUUGUAAAAAUCCUUUUAACAUUUAUAAACUCCACAAAUUGAUUCAUUUAUAAAUUCCUUAAAUUACCUGUCCUGCUGAUGUGAUUGUGGGUCUUUAACAGUGCCGUUGAUGAACCUUAUGAUUGCCUCCAUGAAUUUUGUGCCAUCCUUCGAUCUUGUAAGCAAUUCAAGAACACGAAAAGGUAAUUGGUUUUCCAACAAGAACAGAUCCGAGUACACAAAUGUUAGCAAUUCGUUUUUAAUAGAAAAUUCGUUCGACGUACGACAACGAUCUUGGCCGUAAAGCAUAUAAACUGCUUGUAAAAUUGCGCAGCCGUCAACGAAGAACAUCCAAGCCAGUUUCUCGUUAUCGUUGCUAUAGUUCUCUAAUCCCUUUGGAUCAUAGCAUUUCUUUAAGCCAUCGAUCUCUGUCUUCAUGUUGUUGUACAAGGUAUCCUUAUCGACGCCAAUUUUUUUAACGAAAAGUGCUGCUAAUUUGAGCUUGAGCUUCUCGGAUUUAUGGAGGGUGGCAUCAUCGUGGUAGAAUGGGCCGAUUGAGAUCACUUUCGGCUUGAAAUACUUACUGAAAUCUUCGUGACGACCAAGGGUUGAUGGGACUCUUUGUAUCAAUGGUUUGGCACCGAGGUCGAUUUCGUCGCCGUCGAAAGCUUCGUCUAAUGACCGGAGAUUCACUACUUCGCCAACGCUGAGAGGGACGUCCAUAUCAAUGCUCACGGAAUCGUUGUUGUCGGUGAUUGUUUGAUCAGUGGAAACUGCUCCGACGGCGCCGCCUCCUUCCUCCGUGGAAGACAUUUUCAGGCUGAGCGGUUGGAAGUAAUAAAGAAGGUGAUUUUGUAAACUGCUUUUGGCUGAGUGAGUGAUGUUGGAGAAAAGGUGGCAAAGUGGAUAAGAUGAUGACAAAUGUUUUAUAGCUUACAUGAUAAACAUAUAUGGGAAAUACUUAAGGUGUAAUUCAAAUUUACCCUUAGUGUUUAUAUUUUUACUAUAAUUUUAAUUUUUUAAUUAAAUUUAUUUCUCUUUUGAAAGAGUCAAUGAUAAAAAAAGAAAAGAAAAGUUAAAUUAAUGUUUUUUAACAAAAAUAGUAACAAAUAUUAAAAUUGUGAAUAACAUUAUAGAACUUAAAUACUCAACGCAACUCAAGAAACUAAUGGUGGGUCUGGAUGGGCAGUGCGGUGCGGUGCGUUUAGCCUACUUUUUGUCUCAUACUACAGUGUUGCUACAGUAUCUAAUCUCACCGCCACCACUGUUUUUACACUAACCACAGGUAAACGCACCGUCCAUCCAAACUCACCCUAAGACCCUAUCAAAGGGAGAAUUUUAUAUCUACAACACUUCCUAAAUUUCAUUAGCUUAAUAAUAGCUAUUCAAUUUUUUUUUUCAUUUUUUUACUUAAAUUAUUUUUACUUACUUUAUAUUAGAUAAAUUAUUCCAAAUAUUUAAUAUUUUACAUAUAAUAAUUGCAUUUGUUAUUCUACCUAACUCAUGAAAAAUCUCAAUUUUGCAACAUCACAUGCCAACCAACCAAUUUAUUAUUCACAUUCCAACUUUCUAAAUGCAUCAAAUAUUUCAUAUUCAUGUACUAACAAAGAUCAUGCCAAGAACCCACAUGCAAAGUCAUUGUAUAGUACCACAUUUAACUCAAUCGGACUUUUACACAACUAAAGAUUACUCCAAACGUUUAUAUGCAUGUCACAAUCCUUCACUCAAAAUGAUAAAAAAAAAACUAUUAAAUUGACGAUAAAAUAGUUUAAGCUUCGACCGAUCCAACCGACGUGUUCUAGCAUAUAAUAUGUUUAGUAAGCUCAUAUGGAAACUAAAACUUACCUAGAUCAAUUGAACAUAAAAAAUUACUCAAUAAGCUAUCGAAUUAAUUUUUCCUUAGCACUUAUAUAUAUAUAAUACAUGUAACAACAUUUCAAGUCAAAAGUGUUAGAUACAAUGUUGAAUCAUAAUCCUGUCAACAUUUAAAACAUAAUCACAUAGCAAUCUAUAUACCAAAUUUCAUCAAUACCAGUUCAUUUUCAAUUCAAGAUUUAAUUCCAUUUCCAACCAUUUAAUCAUCCUCUGAUGGAACUACAGUAAAAAAGACCUAGGUACAUGGGAAUAUUUUGCUGACACUGUAACGAACUUACUCACAAAAGUUGACUUUAUAUUGGAAUUGUUCACACAAGUUAACUUUGUAAUUUAUAUAAUGUAAAAUUUAAGAUUUUUAUAUUAUGUAAAUCAAAGCUUAAUAUUGCAUAACUAAUUAGUUUUGAGUUUUCAAAAUAAUAUGGCUUUAUAAAGAUAUAGAAUUCUUGAUAUAAGUCUUAACAAGGGAAAAUUUAAGGAUAGGAAAAUUGUGGUGGAAAGGGGGUCAAUUUCUCCUAAACAGGUGGAGAGCUGGAGAAGGGUAAGAGAAGGAAGAUGGUUGAUGUGAAGGCUAAGAGUAAUUGUUAAAGGUUGCUAACAGGGAGGAUCCCUUUCUCAUGAAGAUGAUUUUUAAACACCGUGUUAAUUGUUUAUGGGCCAUCAUGUUUGACGAUAAUUUUUAAAUACUGUGUUAAUUGUAUAUAGCACAUCAUGUUUGACAAUAAAUUUUAAAGACUUUUAAACGUCGCAUUAAUUGUUUAUGGCCCAUUGCCCAUGUUGCUUUUAUUAAAUUUUGGGUAAACUAUAAGUUAAUCACUUAAUUUUUAUAAAAUUUCAUUUUGGUAAAAGAAAAUCUCAGGAUAAAACAAAAAUUAGGAUAAAUGUAAUGUUGAAAUGAAUAUAGUGGGAAUCUUUAAUGUUUAUGGCCAAACCCCACCUCUCCUAUCCUAUACUUCAUCUAUCAUAAUGAUUCUUGGCUUCUUCUACAAUUGCCUUCACAAAAUGAAGCUGACAUUUGAGGUUGUCCUUCAUUUACUUUUGUUUUCUUCCUAUGAUAUAAAUGCAAGUAGAAUAUAAAUUAUACAUUUGUAAUUCCUCAAUUAUUUGGAUUAAAUUGAAAAACAAUCUCAAUUAUUUGGAUUAGAUUGAAAAAUAAUUGACACUUGAUUUGAUUGUGAAAGAAGUUUUAGUUUAAUGAAAUGAAUGAGUUAAAUUUUAAAUUUAUAAUAUUUAACUUGAGUGUGAAUGAAUUUUUGACUUAAUUGAAAAUUGAAAAUUUUAUAAAUUUUGUUUAAAUUUAUUUUGAUUUAAUUCUCAUAUUGUAUAUUCUUAAUUAAAUUCGGAAUAUAUCAAUUUAGUCAUACAUUGUAACGAUGGAUUCGAAUUAUAGUUAAUUAUAUAUUGAAACUAAAAAUCUUAGAUUUUUAUCAACAUUUGCCGCCUCAUUUAUGGUGAAUGGUAUAUUUCCCAUUUGGUCCCCCUUUCUUUUUAUUAAUCUAUAAUUCUACUUCUACCCCCAUUCAAUUUAGCCCUUUUUCCUAAUUUCUCUUAAUUAAGCUAAAUUCACUUAAUUAAAGCCUAAUUAAACACACAACUAGCCUCACAAAUAUUCUUAAUAAAUACUUACGAACUCGGUUCACUAAGACGGAGGCCCUAUAACUCACUUUUCUAGUGCCCGUGAAUUUUGGAUCAUUACACCUUCUUCCGUGGACGACAUUUUUAGGCUGAGCGGUUCGAAGUAAUUAACAAGGUGAUUUUGUAAACUGUUUUUGGCUGAGUGAGUGAUGUUGGUGAAAAGGUGGCAAAAUGGCUACAAUGUUUCUAUAGCUUAUAAAAUGAACAUACGGAAAAUCUUUAAUUAAGAUUUAAAUGUAUAAAAGUAUAAAUUAUAAUAGUAAAAUUGUACUUUAAUCUUAUAAAUCGCAAUACUUUAAUUUAGUUAUUUAAAAAAUUAGAAAUAUAUUAGUUAAUAUAAUGAUAAAAUUACGUUUUAACUUUAUCAAAAUUUAUAACUUAAUUUCAAUCCAAAUUCUUACUUCACCCUUAUUUCUGCACUAAUAAAAGUUAUAAUCUGUGUUAAAUAUCGGAUUAGUAUAUGGAUGAUAUUAAAAAUAUAUAUAAAAAUAUAAAAUCUCUAAAAGCUUAAUCAACACACAUUCAGGUGUACGCUUUUAUUAAACUUUGAUUUUUUUAGUACGAGAUUAUCUGGAUUCUUUAAAAUAAUGUUAUGGAUAAGUUUUUGUUUAAUGUAUUGAUUGGUUUUUUUUUUCCUUUUAGAUUUGAUGAAUGAUAGAUUUUUGUUUGUGAAGUUUAUCUAUGAAUAUUUAUAUAAUUAUUAAUAAUUUUAUAUUUAAAAUUUAUUUAAUAUUUUAAAAUUUUAUCGAUAAUUUUGAAAGGAUAUAUAAAAACAAAUCGAUAUUGAUAUGUAUCAAUUUCUGUAGAAAAACGGUGCGUCCAUCAGUGCAAUACUAACUACCUUGGAUAAGAAAACAUUUAAUCCUUAAAUUUGGCAACUUUUCUCAACUUAGUCAUUAAACUUUUUUUUUAUCUACACUAGUCUUCUAACUUGACAACUUUUCUAAAUUUUGAUGCAUGUGAUGACAUCGCAUUCUGAUUUUGUAUCAUAGGGGUGUUCGAAUUUCGAUUAAAAUUGAAUUAACUGACCGAACCAAUCUAAUUCAGUUAAUCAGUCAGUUAAUCAAUCUAGUUCUAUCAGAGGUCGGUUAAAAGUUUUUUGGAAUUUCGGUUAACGGUUAAUUCGAUUCGAAAUUAGGUAAUUAACUGAAUUACCCAAACUUAAUAAAUUAGACUUGUAGGCUAGGAAGCACAGACACGGCUCAUCCCUCCUCGUACCGGUAUCGUACGUGUGUCCGACACAGACACUCGACGGACAUGCCUAGAUACGUAUGGAACAAGCUGGAAUAUGCCAAAAAUUUUUUUUUUUAUUGCCAUAUCUUGCUGUAUCCGUGUCCUUAUUUUCUAAAAAUUACCAUGUUGCUGUGUCUGUAUCAUGUCGUACCCGUAUUGCGUGUCUGUAUCCAUGCUCCAUAGCUUGUAGGUAAGGGCCGAACAAAGAAUCCAGUAAGGCAGUAGUCUAGAAUAAGGAGUUAGACCAAUUGAAUCGAGUUAAUGAAUUGAUUUUCUUUAUAUUUUUAAUAUAUCUUUAAUAUUUUUAAAAUUUUAUAUGAUUUAACCGAGUGGUUAAUCAAUAAAAAUUGAGAGUCUAAUAGAUUUAAAAAAAAAAACCUUUUUAACAUAUAUAAACUCCAAAAAAAUAUUCUUUUUUAAAUUCCUUAAAUUACCUGUCCUGCUGAUGUGAUUCUGGCUUUUUAACAGUAUUGUUGGUGAACCCUACGGUUGCCUCCAUGAACUUUUUGUCAUCGUUCGAUCUUGUAAGCAAUUCAAGAACACGAAAAGGUAAUUGGUUUUCCAACAAGAACAGAUCCGAGUACUCAAAUGUCAGCAGUUCGUUUUUAAUAGACAAUUCGUUCGACAUAUGCUCAUAAUCUUGGCCAUCAACAUCAUCAUUACCGUAACGAUAUAAACUGCUUGUAAAAUUGUGCAGCCGUCAACGAGGAACAUCCAAGCCAGAUUCUCGUUAUCGUUGGUAUACUUAUCUAAUUCCUUUGGAUCAUAGCAUUUCUUCAAGUCAUCGAUCUCUGUCUUAAUGUUGUUGUACAAGGUUCCCCUAUCGACGCCAAUGUUUUUGACGAAAAGUGUUGUUAAUUUGCACUUGAGCUUCUUGGAUUCAUGGAGGGUGGGAUCAGCGUGGUGAGUGGACCGAUUGAGAUCACUUUCGGCUUGAAAUACUUCCUGAAAUCUUCGUGACGGCCAAGGGUUGAUGGGAGUCUUCGUAUCAAUGGUUUGGCUUUGGGGUCGAGUUGUUUGCCGUCGAAAGCUUCGUCUAAUGACCGGAGAUUCUCUAAUUCGCCAUUGCUGAGAGUGAGCUCCGUACCCGGCAUUGGAAUGAUCGUCUCUUGGGGAUUGUUGGUGGUGGUGUUUUUGGUGAUUGUUUGAUCAGUGGAAACUGCUCCGCCGGGAGCUCCGACGGCGCGGCCUCCUUUCUCCGUGGACGACAUUUUCAGGCUGAGCGGUUCGAAAAAAGGUGAUUUGGGAAACUGUUUUUGGCUGAAUGAGUGAUGUUGGAAAAAAGGUGGCAAAAUGGCUACGAUGACGACAAGUGUUUCUAUAGCUUAUAUAAUAAACGUAUGGAAAAUAUUUUGGUGUAAUAUUAAAUUUAACCCUUAAUAUUUAUAUUUUUUUAAUUUGAUUCUUAUUCUUUUUAAUUAAAUUUAAUUCUCUACCUUUUGAAAGAGCCAAAUUUGAUUACCAAUCUUUUAGAAAAGAGUUGAAUCAAUAUUUUUUAAUGAAAACAGUGAUUAAAAUAUUAAAUUUGUAAACAUGACAACUCAUAUGGUAAUCCAUGUGUACAUAUUUUUUAUUUUUUAUUUUUAAAUAAUUUGUUGACGUGUGACAUAUAAGAAAAGCAGUGCUAUGUUAGCACGAAGUGCACAUGGAUUGCCACACGAGUUGUAACACCAACACCGUUAAAAAUUUAAUAUUUUAGUUAAUAUUUUUGUUAAAGAAAAACAAUUUAACUCUUUUUUGAAAGGUUAAUGACUAAAUUUAGCUCAAAUAAUAAUAAUAAAAGAACAGAGGCCAAUUUGACAGAAAAAUGUAAAUAUCGAGGACUAAAGGCCAAUUUGAUAGAAAAAUGUAAAUAUCGAGGACUAAAUUUAUCAUUAUGUCAUUCUUUUUAAGGUUAACUUAUAUGAAUACAAUAUAAGUUCAAGUACAAAUAUAUGUAUGGAUUAAUCUAGAAAGAACUAGACAAAAUCCACACAUGAUAUACGCAUAUGAUGAGAGUAAAACUCACACAUCACAAUUAAGAAUAAUAUUAUAAAACCUAAAUACUCAGAGACUUAAAACCUUCGCAUUAACCAAAAAGUGAAGACCCCAUCAUAUGGAGAAUUUUAUAUCUACAUACGACAAUAUUUCUCGGAUUUCAUACGCUUAAUACUAGCUCUUCAAAUAUAUUCAUUUUUCAUUUUAUUACUUAAAAGUUAUUUUGAUUUACUUUAUAUUGAUUUCAAUCAUAUUGAUCCGUAGAUAUUGUUUCAAUAAGAAAUCGAAUUUUUUUUUUUUAAAUGAGAUGAUUUUGUUGUGGGUUUUUUAAAAUAGUGUUACGGAUAACUUUUUUGUUUAAUGUUUUGGUUGGCUUUUUUUUUUCUUUUUUUCGAAUUUUUGAAUGAUGAAUUUUGCAUGUAAAGAUUAUUGAUGAAUAUUUAUAUUUAUUUAAUUUCAUUCAUUUAAUGUUUUUAAAUCUUUUUUAUAUAUUAAAUAUUUUAGAAAUUUAUCGAUAAUUUCGAAAAGAUAUACAAAAACAGGCCAGUACUAAUAUGUAUCCGUUUUUGUAAAAAAAAUGUGCGUCCAUUAGUGUAGUACUAACUACCUUAGAUAAAAAACUGUUUAGUCCUUAAAUUUGGUAACUUUCCUCAACUUAGCACUUAAGCUUUUAUUUUAUCUACAUUAGUCUUCUAACUUUGACAGCUUUUCUCAAUUUCGAUGCAUGUGAUGACACAACACUAUGAUAUUGAGAUGCUAUCAUCUAAAAAUUAUAUUUUUAAUAAAAAUUAGGUGUUAACAUGGGAGAAAUAUUAUUAUAAUAACCAAAAAUGAGAAAAGUUGUCAAUUUUCAUGAUUGAUGUGGACAGUGGUGAAGAUAAGGGGCUGGUAGGGGCAGAAAUUUUUUUUUCAUUUACGUCCUUUUAUAAUUUAUAAAAUUUUAAAUUAUUAGUGGUAAAAUUAUAUUUUGUCACCCAAAAAUAAAAAAAAAUUAAUUUAAUCCUUUAAAAUGAUAAAGUUAUAGACUAUUAAAAUGGUAAAAUUACAUUUUUAUUAUCAUAAAAAUAUACAACUUAAUUCCGGCCCCUCCCAAAAAAAAUUUUGGCUUCGCCCCUGAAUGUGGACCAAAAAAGAAAGUCUAGAGACCAAAUUGAAAAAUUUUGUCAAAUUUAAGGAUUAAAUGUUGUCUUAUUAUUUUAUUUAACAAAAAGUGUGCUAUAUACACCAAAGUCUCGUAAUUGAAUAAUAAAAUUUUGAUGUUUUUAAGUAAAUCUUGAAUUUAAAUCUUAUGAAUAAAGAAAAUAAUACUAAAUAAAUUUUACUAUCUACUUACGAAUUCAACUCAAUUUCAAAUUUAACUACCAAAUAUCAAAGCUCUUAUAAAAAAAAAAAGGUAUUGUAAACUUUGUUGUAGUGUAUUUUAUUUUGAUCCAAAAUAGUGAAAAGGAAAUGCAUCCUAAAUUUAUUCAAACCAAAUUAUUAACUUUAAGUGUAAAUUGGGUAAGUGUAACAUAAUUGUUCUCUUUUUUUUUUUUAAUUUAGUCCUUUUCCUAAAUACAACAUAUAUUUUAUAAUAGAUAAUUGAAUUAAUUAAACCAUCAGUUCAUCGCUCAGUUCAACCUAAUGACGGAACGUAAGAGGAGAUUCCCUUCAAAAUUUUAGAAAAUUAUCACUAAAUUCUUCAAAAUAAUUUACAUUUUUACUUUUUACUUAGGACUCCUAAUUUUUUAAAAAUCCUAAUUAAGCCUCGCAAAAAGUGUUGAAAUUUUCAAAAAUUUCAAAACUUCUCGUUAAUUUUUUUUAAAAAUUUUGAUUAAGCCUCUUAAAUUUUAUUUUUUUUAAAAAAUCUCAUUAAACACUAAAAAUUAAUUUAAAUAGAUUGAAUCGAAAAUCCAGAAUUACAAAAUUCUCAUAAAUAACCAGAGUUUACAAUGAGAAUAGUAAACAACAAUUACUUUGGUUGAUGUAUGGUAUAAUAAGUCUGCAAAGCAGCAAUAAAAAGCCAGCAAUGGCACCCACAAAUGCGAAAAACGUCCAACGAGUCCUAAAAUAAGCAUGAUAAGCUUGAGCUAGAUAUUGAAUCCACAUAUUCUUACAAUGAUUAUGUAUUUUCUGUUUAACAUAACUGUAACUAGGAACCAAAUCAGUGUUCAUAUUCUUGAUAAGCUUAGCCACUUCUUCAUCACUCCUCAAUCUAUUGUAUAGUAUACCGGCGUCUCUCAGUUCCUUAACAUCUUCGACUUCAUCGAUCAAUGAAUCAAGGACACCCAAAUAUGAAGUGACGGUGAAAUCGUUUUUGAAAUCCAGACACAUUUCGUAAGCUAUUAAGUUCAUGGUUGAAUCAUCGACGGUGAUCGGCGGAAACCAUAAUUUCCCGACAAAGAACACAUGGUUGAAAUUUAUGUCGGUUAAACAACUUGCUUCGCUUGCUUUUAACCAUAUCCCGGCCUUUUUAAGCUCUUUUACGUUACGAAAGGUGUGUGAAUGGUGCAGUUUUGUUCUUGUUUGGCUGCUGCGAUUUAACGUGCACAUGAAACGAGUGCAAAACCUAUAAUGCCGCCAUGGUUUUUCUUUUUUUCCUUUUUUGAAAAGAAGUCUUUCUCGUAGUAGAUUCAAUAGGUGAAUUCGCUGCAGCCUCCAUUCACUAGAGUAAAAACUGUGUUAGUCGGAAGCCAAGCUACAAUUUCUUUUCUUUAUUUUAUUUUAUUUGGAAUUGUAAAUUUUUAUCAAAACUAAAAUUAAGGUUUUUAAAAUGGAUAGUAAAACCAGUCAAAACAUCUAUUUAUAAGUUUAAUUUAUCCGAUCAAUUCAUCCAAUUUGAUUAAAUAAAUUAUUUCAAAUUUCAAUUCGAUUGUCCGGCUUAAUUAAUUUAUUUUCCCGAUUCAACCUGUUCAUAUAGGUUCCCAAAUCAAUUAGUCUAAUAACUUUCUUUGGACUGAUACCUCAAUUAAAUUCCAAUCCAAUCCGAUUCAAACAACUUUAGCUAAAAUACAAUUUUUAUUAUUGUAUUAAUGCAAAAAUUUUACCAUUUUUAAAGAUAUAAUUUUUCCUUUUUGAAAAGGUGGAUUUGAACUAAUAAUUUGUUGGCUUAAGCGUCUAAAAUCCCUCGUUUGAAAAAGCAAUUAAACCUUCUUCUUCUUUUUUCAUUCAUUUGGGUGCUUGAACUUUUAAAAUACAUCAAAAAGGUCCUUAAACCUUUUUUUAAAUAAAAAAAAGCAAUUAAGCCUCUACUUUUUUUUGCACACAAUUGGGUACUUUGACUUUCAAAAUGCAUCAAAAAGACCCUCAAAUUUUUUCAAAAAAAAAAAGUUAAGCCCCUGCUUUUUAUUAAAAAUUAGAAAAAAUUUAUAAAAAGUUAAAAUUAAUAAAAGCUAUAAAUCUUGUCGAAACCGAUUUUUUGAAAAAAACAAAAUUUUUAGGUUGUCGACUUAAAAAAAAGAAAAUUGGGAGUCGCCACCAAUCUUUUAUUGAGGUGUGAUUGGAUCACCUAAAACGACUUUGGUUUACGAAUUUUAGAAAAACGGGUUCGGAAGUCGGUUACGUAUGAGGAAGGAUUAGCACCCUCAUUACGCCCAAAAAUUGGUACCUCGUUAAUUAAUUAAUGUCUUAAGGUCAAAAAUUUUAAAAAUAUAAUCUUUAAAAACUUAAAACGUUGCAUAUUAAGACCCUUUUCAAUUCAGAGAAGCAAAAAUGCUACACCCAAUACGUUAGGGAACAACAUUCUAAUUUCCCCCAAAAUGAAUUAGGUCAGAAUAUUUAUACAAUAAAACUUUAAAAGAACAUCCACUCAUCCAAGAUUUAAGAAAUCACACCCAAUACGUUAGGGCACGAUUCCUUUAGAAUCCCAAACUCGGAAUAUUUCCUUUACUUUAAAAGAACAUCCACUUAUCCAAGAUUUAAGAAAUCACACCCAAUACGUUAGGGCACAAUUCCUUUAGAAUCUCAAACUCGGAAUAUUUCCUUCAUGAUUUUUUUUUAAAAAAAUCUUCAUUUCGAGAAAUCAAUGCGUCACAUCCAAUACGUUAGGACACAACGUGUUGAAUUCCCAAUAAUGAGUUUUUAUUUUUUUGAUUGAAGAGAAAUGCUCGAUUGUCGGAUUUAACAAAAAAAAUCAGAACCCAAUACGUUAGGGCUCAAUUCCCUUGAAAAUCCUAAAUACGAAUAUUAUCUCAAUUUAAAAAAAUUUCUAUCUUUAAAUUUGAGUAAAAAAAUGAUGUAACAUGAUUUUAUACAUACAAAUGCUAUAAUAAUAAUAACAAUAAUAAAUACAUCAUCGACAUAAAAAUAAUAUAAACAAAUGAAUAAACAAAAUAAUAAAAAAAGGUAAUCCAUGACAUGCAAAAUAUUAAAUGUAAACACAAUCAUACAAUGGAUGGGAUAGCAUUUACAAAUAUACAUAUAAUUUACAAAUAAAAUUUUGGGUUAUAGAAUUUAUAUAUAAAUACAAUACAUAAUAUACUUAUGCAAAUAAAGAAAAAAUAUAAUUAUACGUACAUAUAUAAAAUAAUAAAAAAUAGGUAUAUUUUAAAAAAAGAAAAAGUGAGUAUUUAAUCAUUAAAAAACGUAAAUAUAUACAUAUAAAUAUGAAAAUAUUCAUUAAAAAAUAUAGGAUAAUAUUCGUUUUAAAAAAUAUAUAUACAUGUACAUAUAAAAGGAAUAUACAUGGAUAAAAAAAUUAAAUAAUGAGUACAUUAUCAAAAUUAAUUUUUUUAAAAAAAUAAAUAUACAUAUAUAUACAUAUAUAAAUGUGAGAAAAAUAUAAGUUAAAAAUAUGUGCAUAAAAUAUACAUGUAUAGAUUUUUAAAAAAAUAAAAAUAAAAAAUGAUUAUGUUAUUAAUUAAUAAAAUAAAUGAAAAGAACAAAAAAGGAAAAGAAAAACUAAAUUGAAUUGCAAUAAAAAAAACUGGGGUAAAUCCGCAAAUAAAUAAAAGUAAAAGGAUUAAUUUGAACGCGUGAAUUACAUAGAGGGGCUAGAAGGGAAAUUUUCCCUUCUCCUCUAAAACGACGCCGUUCAACUUAGACCCAAUUGAAAUAAAAAUAAAUAAAAGGGUAAAUCAAGAAAAAUAAAAAAAACUUAAUUACAAAAACAUUAAAAGGCGGAAGGGCUAAAUAAAAUAAAUAAAAUUCGCAGUGGUAUCACCUUCUCCCUCUUUAAAUUCAUAAAUAAGUAAAAUAAUCGAAAAAAAAAUAUAGUAAGCCACCUUUAAAAAAUUGCCAAUCGUUCUCUUUUUUAUUCCUCUUCCUCCUUUUUUUACAUUACAUUCAGUGGCUUUAUAUAGCCAUUCUAAAAAAAUCAUAUAAAGAAGAAACAAAUCUCUUUUAUUUGAUUUGUGAAUCUUUGAUUUCAUUUCCUUUUUUGCUCUUGCUUGAUAUGCUUGAUUUGAUUUUGCAAUCCUUGAUUUUCUUUCCUUUCUUGUUUGUUUCCUUGUAGGUGAAGAUCGAUGACGCUCGUGACUGCGGCGCAAAGUCUUCUUAGAAACCCUAGGGUUUCUGCAAAUGAUUUGAGUCACUGAAUUUGGGCCAUUUUCGAAAUUGGGCCACCGUUUUAAAUUGGUUUUGGGCCUUAUGGCCUGUUUGUAAUUUUAGGCCUUUUACCCGGGCCAAAAUCGGGUAUUACAGCUGCCCCUCUUUGCUCGUUGUCGUGUAACAAGAACAGAGCAAAGACUCAACACAACCCAAGAAAUUAAGACCCAAUAGGUUGUAAAUGAAUGAUGAAAUCAAUAGUUUGAAAUGAUGUGUAUUUGUAGUUUUAAUUUCUAUAUUAAGAAUAUGCAUGUUAGACUUUUUUAUGAAAAAUGCAAUAGAAUUUAUAUUUAGGUAAAGAGUUACAAAGAAUUUGUUACUAAAGUAAAAAUUAGAACAGUUAGAGAUUAUCGAUUAGAUAGGGAAACAUAUGGAUUUGAUGAUUAUUUUAGUUUUUAUAUUUUCAAAUGAAUAAUUGGAUGUAUUAGUUGAGAUGUACUAAAUGAUUUAAAUACAAUUUAUAAAUUUUGCUAAAAAACUUUAUUUGAUCAUGUUUUUUUUUUCCUAUCAUGCAAAUGGUAUGAUGUCCAGAUUAUCUGGUCUUUGACUUCAUUUGUCAAUUAAUGAUUGUGGAUUGACAACAUUGACCAUUCUAUGCACGGGGACUACUCAUGAUCUACACAUUUUCUGCCAUUCUCACUACCCAUUGCCAUUCAUUCUCACUACCUAAAUACUCAACACAACCCAAGAAAUUAAGACCCUAUCAGAGGGAGAAUUUUAUAUCUACAACACUUCCUAAAUUUCAUUAAGUUAAUAAUAGCUAUUCAAUUUUUUUUUCAUUUUUUUUACUUAAAUUAUUUUUACUUACUUUAGCAUUUAAAUUAGAUAAAUUAUUCCAAAUAUUUAACAUUGUAACCAUGCUGCUGUACAUAUAGUAAUUGCAUUUGUAAUUCUACCUAACUCAUGAAAAAUCUCAAAUUCGCAACAUGUUAUUCACAUGCCAACCAAAUCUACAAUUUGCCUCCAAGUAAUUAACAAGCUGAUUUUGUAAACUGCUUUUGUCUGAUUUGAGUGAUGUUGGAAAAAAGGUCGCAAUCUUCUAUGAAAGCUUUAAACGCGUGGCAAUUUUCAUCUCUUAUUUUAUUUUGUGUGGUACUUGUAGAUCAGAGUGUUGAUUAUAUCACUGCCUGACACAACACGUACGUGGAGGACAACGAUUUGAGGGGAAAUAGAGAGAUUAUCUUACGAAUAGCAGAACCGGAUAUUGUCGUAUUUGAUUAUAAAAAGGUGUCGGGGCUUUUUUUAUAAAAUAACUUGAAAUUUUUAUUAAUUAUAAAAAUGAUAUUUUGUUUAUCAUGUACGUAAAUAAUAAAUAGUAAAAAUGAUUGGCGUGACCUUUUUAUCACGUUAGCUAAUCAUUAACUAUUAAAAUUAAAAAAUUACUUUUUUAAUGAACCUAUUUCGCGUCACAUGCGGUAGAAAAUCAUCUAAGAAAGGCAUGCACUAAUCAAUUGUUUUUAAGUACUAAUAUUUAGGGAUAAGGUAAUAUUUAAUUAUCUGAAUAUUUUAUAAUAGGGACGAAAUUAUAAAAAAGUUUAAAAGUUGAAGUUGAAUUAUGUAUUUUUAUAUAAGUUAAAAUACAAUUUAAUCAUAUUAGUUUGUAAUUUUACAUAUUUUAAAGAGAUUAGAUUAAAAUUUUAUCAUUUUGAAGGAUGAGAUGCAAUUUUAUUUUAUGUAUUAAGAUGUAGAAUUAUAAUCUUUAAAGGCACCCAAAACAUAAUUUUUUCCUAAAUCAAUUGAACAUAAAAAAUUACUCAAUAAUCUAUGGAAUUAAUUUUUUCUUGGCACUUAUAUGCAUAUGGUACAUGUAACAACAUUUCUAUUAAAGAAAAGCAACUUGAACCUGCACUAUAGGGAAGCAACAGAAAUUUAUUGUGACAAUCAAUUUGCUGUUACAAUCGCAUAGAAUCUAGUGUUCCAUGGGAGAACAAAACACUUCAAGAUUAAGUUCCAUUUUGUUAGGGAGAUGGAGCAAGCUCGAGAAGUAGAGCUGACUCAUUGCAAUUCUAAAGAACAAUUGGUAAACAUCUUGACAAAGCCCCUUAGUGUGUCAAAGUUCGAUAAAUUAAGGAAGCAAAUAGGAGUUUACAGCAUGGAAGACAAAGAGGAGUGUUGAAGUUGGCCUCCAAGCAGCUCAUGCAGCAAGGAGCAGCACAUCCAGUCUGAGCCAAGCUUGCAGCAGCUGAAGCACGAUGCUACUGUUAAGUUUCAUUUUCAUUUUGUUACUCUAAUGAUCAUUUUGUAAUCAAGUUAGAUUUGAACUUAGUAACUCCUUCUUAAUGUAAUUAGGUGUUGAUUGGCUGAAAAUUCAGCAAAGCAACAUGUACAAGUUAAUUUAGCAAGUUUCAAUGUAAUUUAGUGGUGUUAGGUAGUUGUUUAGGUGAAAUCUUGUUUGUAUUGACCAGUUUGUCUGGUAUAUGUAAUGGCUUAAUGCCUUUGUUCAUAGUAGUUAAUGAAAAUCAAUUAGUUUUCAUCCAUAUACUCUCCAUUUUUCUUUGCUUUCAAUUCGGUUAUGUUCUCAAGCAAAUUUCUGCUUUGUUUCUUCUCCAAGGCACGAGUCUUGCUGUUCAAGUCACAGCUGAACUAGCUUGCUUGUUGUUCAUAAAACCAAUAACCUGUUCUCGGCUGCGUUGAUAACAAUAUCAUCGAUGAACCUCCGGAUUGCAUUCAUGAACAUUGUGCCAUCACCCAAGCUUGUAAGCAAUUCAAGAACACGAAAAGGUAAUUGGUUUUCCAACAAGAGCAGAUACGAGUACAGAAAUGUCAGCAAAUCAUUUUUAGUUAACAAAUUACCAUCAUUAUCGUAACGCAUGUAAACUGCUUGUAAAAUUGCGCAACCGUCAACGAUGAACAUCCAAGCCAGUUCCUCGUUAUCGUCUCUAUACUUCUCUAAUUCCUGUGGAUCAUAGCAUUCCUUCAAGCCAUCCAUCUCUUUCUUAAUUUUGCUGUACAAGGAUUUCUUAUCGACGCCAAUUUUUUUGACGAAAUGUGCUGCUAAUUUGAGCUUGAGCCCCUUGGAUUCACGUAGGGUGAGAUCAUCGUGGUGGAGUGGGCCGAUUGAGAUCACUUUUGGCUUGAAAUACUUCUUGAAAUCUUCGUUACGGAGAAGGGUUGAUGGGACUUUUCGUAUUAAUGGUUUGUAUCUGAGGGUGGGUUGGCCGCCGCCGAAAGCUUUGUCUAAUGACUGGAGCUUCGCUACUUCGCCAUCGCUGAGAGGGACGUCCGUGAACCGCAUAUCAAUUCCCACGUAAUCGUUGUUGGUGUUGUUGUCGAUGAUUGUUUGAUCAGUGGAAACUGCUCCGGCGGCGCCGCCUCCUUCCUCACUGGACGACAUUUUCAGGCUGACCGGCUCGAAGUAAUUAACAAGGUGAUUUUGAAACCGGGUUUUGGCUGAUUGAGUGAUGUUGGAAAAAAGGUGGCAAAAUGGCUACGAUGAUGACAAAUGUUU
rnacentral:lncRNA from 1 species